AGCCCCGUAGUGUAGUGGUCAAUCAUUCGAGACUUUGGAUCUUGAGACCCCGGUUCGAAUCCGGGCGGGGCUA
rnacentral:tRNA from 1 species